rnacentral:lncRNA from 1 species
AGCCUUUGUAUGCCAGGGUGGGCCUAAAAUGAUAUGCAAUUAUUAACCUAUAAAUGCAAUACAUCGAAAUCUUAAACAUGCAAUAACCUAUCUAAAAGGGUAGGUUCUAGAAGAGAAUCAUGCUAGAUCUCUUAUUUUCUAGCGUUGGUGAAUGCAAAAGACAGGAAAAUAAGAAAAUGUUAGUUCAACAAAUAAUCACAUAACACGUUGAGGCAAUUAAUUGAUAUAGAAGGCAAUAAAGAAAAGUAAGAAAAGAAAGGUGGAAUCCCUCCCCUCGU